GACCACUCCGGUGGCUUAGCGGUUAGAGCGUCCGCCUUGUAUGCGGGAGGUCAUAUGUUCGAUCCCCUGCCGAGUCA